rnacentral:rRNA from 1 species
GCCUAUAUGAAGUCGGAAUUGCUAGUAAUCGCGGAUCAGCAUGCCGCGGUGAAUACGUUCCCGGGCCUUGUACACACCGCCCGUCACACCAUGAGAGUCGAUAACACCCGAAGCCUGUAGUCUAACCUUAGGGGGGACGCAGUCGAAGGUGGGAUUGAUAAUUAGGGUGAAGUCGUAACAAGGUAGC